rnacentral:rRNA from 1 species
AUUGAACGCUGGCGGCAGGCCUAACACAUGCAAGUCGAACGGUAACAGGAAGAAGCUUGCUUCUUUGCUGACGAGUGGCGGACGGGUGAGUAAUGUCUGGGAAACUUCCUGAUGGAGGGGGAUAACUACUGGAAACGGUAGCUAAUACCGCAUACGUCGCAAGACCAAAGAGGGGGACCUUCGGGCCUCUUGCCAUCGGAUGUGCCCAGAUGGGAUUAGCUAGUAGGUGGGGUAACGGCUCACCUAGGCGACGAUCCCUAGCUGGUCUGAGAGGAUGACCAGCCACACUGGAACUGAGACACGGUCCAGACUCCUACGGGAGGCAGCAGUGGGGAAUAUUGCACAAUGGGCGCAAGCCUGAUGCAGCCAUGCCGCGUGUAUGAAGAAGGCCUUCGGGUUGUAAAGUACUUUCAGCGGGGAGGAAGGGAGUAAAGUUAAUACCUUGGCUCAUUGACGUUACCCGCAGAAGAAGCACCGGCUAACUCCGUG